rnacentral:rRNA from 1 species
AGCGGCGGACGGGUGAGUAACACGUGGGUAACCUACCUAUAAGACUGGAAUAACUCCGGGAAACCGGGGCUAAUGCCGGAUAACAUUUAGAACCGCAUGGUUCUAAAGUGAAAGAUGGUUUUGCUAUCACUUAUAGAUGGACCCGCGCCGGAUUAGCUAGUUGGUGAGGUAAAGGCUCACCAAGGCGACGAUCAGUAGCUGGUCUGAGAGGACGACCAGCCACACUGGAACUGAGACACGGUCCAGACUCCUACGGGAGGCAGCAGUGGGGAAUUUUGGACAAUGGGCGCAAGCCUGAUCCAGCAAUGCCGCGUGAGUGAAGAAGGCCUUCGGGUUGUAAAGCUCUUUUGUCAGGGAAGAAACGGCUGUGGCUAAUAUCCACGGCUAAUGACGGUACCUGAAGAAUAAGCACCGGCUAACUACGUGCCAGCAGCCGCGGUAAUACGUAGGGUGCAAGCGUUAAUCGGAAUUACUGGGCGUAAAGCGUGCGCAGGCGGUUUUGUAAGUCUGUCGUGAAAGCCCCGGGCUCAACCUGGGAAUUGCGAUGGAGACUGCAAGGCUUGAAUCUGGCAGAGGGGGGUAGAAUCCCACGUGUAGCAGUGAAAUGCGUAGAGAUGUGGAGGAACACCGAUGGCGAAGGCAGCCCCCUGGGUCAAGAUUGACGCUCAUGCACGAAAGCGUGGGGAGCAAACAGGAUUAGAUACCCUGGUAGUCCACGCCCUAAACGAUGUCUACUAGUUGUCGGGUUUUAAUUAACUUGGUAACGCAGCUAACGCGUGAAGUAGACCGCCUGGGGAGUACGGUCGCAAGAUUAAAACUCAAAGGAAUUGACGGGGACCCGCACAAGCGGUGGAUGAUGUGGAUUAAUUCGAUGCAACGCGAAAAACCUUACCUACCCUUGACAUGGAAGGAAUCCCGGAGAGAUUUGGGAGUGCCCGAAAGGGAACCUUCACACAGGUGCUGCAUGGCUGUCGUCAGCUCGUGUCGUGAGAUGUUGGGUUAAGUCCCGCAACGAGCGCAACCCUUGUCAUUAGUUGCUACGCAAGAGCACUCUAAUGAGACUGCCGGUGACAAACCGGAGGAAGGUGGGGAUGACGUCAAGUCCUCAUGGCCCUUAUGGGUAGGGCUUCACACGUCAUACAAUGGUACAUACAGAGGGCCGCCAACCCGCGAGGGGGAGCUAAUCCCAGAAAGUGUAUCGUAGUCCGGAUCGUAGUCUGCAACUCGACUACGUGAAGUUGGAAUCGCUAGUAAUCGCGGAUCAGCA